AGGAAGACGGUGAGUAGAAGCCAA
rnacentral:miRNA from 1 species